GGACUCGAUUUACAUGGUGGAGACUUCGAUCUUGCGUCUCAUUUCUAGCUCCAUUAUCUAUGGUGAAAGCAAUUUACUCGAUCUUUUGCUCCGAAACAGUCAGCGAGAUUAAAUCAAACUUAAGCAUAUACUAGUACAUGUUACCAACCGGGUUGACAUGUUAGGUCAUUCUCAACCCAUAACACUAGAUAUAGUUUCUAUAAACUUCCCAUCAUAAAAAAACU
rnacentral:lncRNA from 1 species